rnacentral:rRNA from 1 species
CUACGGGGUGCACCAGUGGGGAAUUUUGCGCAAUGGGGGAAACCCUGACGCAGCAACGCCGCGUGAGUGAUGAAGGCCCUUGGGUCGUAAAGCUCUGACAGAGGGAAAGAAGUGCAGGGGUGCUAAUAUCACCUUUGCUUGACGGUACCCUCAAAGGAAGCACCGGCUAACUCCGUGCCAGCAGCCGCGGUAAUACGGGGGGUGCAAGCGUUGUUCGGAUUUAUUGGGCGUAAAGCGCGUGUAGGCGGUUUUAUAAGUCUGAUGUGAAAGCCCUGGGCUCAACCCGGGAAGUGCAUUGGAUACUGUAAGACUUGAAUACGGGAGAGGGCAGUGGAAUUCCUAGUGUAGGAGUGAAAUCCGUAGAUAUUAGGAGGAACACCGGUGGCGAAGGCGGCUGCCUGGACCGAUAUUGACGCUGAGACGCGAAAGCGUGGGUAGCAAACAGGAUUAGAUACCCCUGUAGUC